UACGGAGGGUGCAAGCGUUGUUCGGAAUCAUUGGGCGUAAAGCGCGUGUAGGCGGCUUGGUAAGUCGGGUGUGAAAGCCCGGGGCUUAACCCCGGAACUGCAUUCGAAACUGCCUCGCUAGAGUCCCGGAGGGGAAGGCGGAAUUCCCGGUGUAGAGGUGAAAUUCGUAGAUAUCGGGAGGAACACCCGUAGCGAAGGCGGCCUUCUGGACGGUGACUGACGCUGAGACGCAAAAGCGUGGGGAGCAAACAGG
rnacentral:rRNA from 1 species